CCAAACAGACCCAUAUUCAGGUUCCUGGUGUUUAGUUCCUCCAAACAGACCCAUAUUCAGGUUCCUGGUGUUUAGUUCCUCCAAACAGACCCAUAUUCAGGUUCCUGGUCCUUAGUUCCUCCAAACAGACCCAUAUUCAGGUUCCUGGUGUUUAGUUCCUCCAAACAGACCCAUAUUCAGGUUCCUGGACCUUAGUUCCUCCAAACAGACCCAUAUUCAGGUUCCUGGUGUUUAGUUCCUCCAAACAGACCCAUAUUCAGGUUCCUGGUGUUUAGUUCCUCCAAACAGACCCAUAUUCAGGUUCCUGGUGUUUAGUUCCUCCAAACAGACCCAUAUUCAGGUUCCUGGUCCUUAGUUCCUCCAAACAGACCCAUAUUCAGGUUCCUGGUGUUUAGUUCCUCCAAACAGACCCAUAUUCAGGUUCCUGGACCUUAGUUCCUCCAAACAGACCCAUAUUCAGGUUCCUGGUCCUUAGUUCCUCCAAACAGACCCAUAUUCAGGUUCCUGGUCCUUAGUUCCUCCAAACAGACCCAUAUUCAGGUUCCUGGUGUUUAGUUCCUCCAAACAGACCCAUAUUCAGGUUCCUGGUGUUUAGUUCCUCCAAACAGACCCAUAUUCAGGUUCCUGGUGUUUAGUUCCUCCAAACAGACCCAUAUUCAGGUUCCUGGACCUUAGUUCCUCCAAACAGACCCAUAUUCAGGUUCCUGGUCCUUAGUUCCUCCAAACAGACCCAUAUUCAGGUUCCUGGUGUUUAGUUCCUCCAAACAGACCCAUAUUCAGGUUCCUGGUCCUUAGUUCCUCCAAACAGACCCAUAUUCAGGUUCCUGGUCCUUAGUUCCUCCAAACAGACCCAUAUUCAGGUUCCUGGUGUUUAGUUCCUCCAAACAGACCCAUAUUCAGGUUCCUGGUCCUUAGUUCCUCCAAACAGACCCAUAUUCAGGUUCCUGGUGUUUAGUUCCUCCAAACAGACCCAUAUUCAGGUUCCUGGUGUUUAGUUCCUCCAAACAGACCCAUAUUCAGGUUCCUGGUCCUUAGUUCCUCCAAACAGACCCAUAUUCAGGUUCCUGGUCCUUAGUUCCUCCAAACAGACCCAUAUUCAGGUUCCUGGUGUUUAGUUCCUCCAAACAGACCCAUAUUCAGGUUCCUGGUGUUUAGUUCCUCCAAACAGACCCAUAUUCAGGUUCCUGGUCCUUAGUUCCUCCAAACAGACCCAUAUUCAGGUUCCUGGUGUUUAGUUCCUCCAAACAGACCCAUAUUCAGGUUCCUGGUCCUUAGUUCCUCCAAACAGACCCAUAUUCAGGUUCCUGGUCCUUAGUUCCUCCAAACAGACCCAUAUUCAGGUUCCUGGUGUUUAGUUCCUCCAAACAGACCCAUAUUCAGGUUCCUGGUGUUUAGUUCCUCCAAACAGACCCAUAUUCAGGUUCCUGGUGUUUAGUUCCUCCAAACAGACCCAUAUUCAGGUUCCUGGUCCUUAGUUCCUCCAAACAGACCCAUAUUCAGGUUCCUGGUCCUUAGUUCCUCCAAACAGACCCAUAUUCAGGUUCCUGGUGUUUAGUUCCUCCAAACAGACCCAUAUUCAGGUUCCUGGUGUUUAGUUCCUCCAAACAGACCCAUAUUCAGGUUCCUGGUCCUUAGUUCCUCCAAACAGACCCAUAUUCAGGUUCCUGGUCCUUAGUUCCUCCAAACAGACCCAUAUUCAGGUUCCUGGUGUUUAGUUCCUCCAAACAGACCCAUAUUCAGGUUCCUGGUCCUUAGUUCCUCCAAACAGACCCAUAUUCAGGUUCCUGGUGUUUAGUUCCUCCAAACAGACCCAUAUUCAGGUUCCUGGUCCUUAGUUUCUCCAAACAGACCCAUAUUCAGGUUCCUGGUGUUUAGUUCCUCCAAACAGACCCAUAUUCAGGUUCCUGGUCCUUAGUUUCUCCAAACAGACCCAUAUUCAGGUUCCUGGUGUUUAGUUCCUCCAAACAGACCCAUAUUCAGGUUCCUGGUGUUUAGUUCCUCCAAACAGACCCAUAUUCAGGUUCCUGGUGUUUAGUUCCUCCAAACAGACCCAUAUUCAGGUUCCUGGACCUUAGUUCCUCCAAACAGACCCAUAUUCAGGUUCCUGGUCCUUAGUUCCUCCAAACAGACCCAUAUUCAGGUUCCUGGUGUUUAGUUCCUCCAAACAGACCCAUAUUCAGGUUCCUGGUCCUUAGUUCCUCCAAACAGACCCAUAUUCAGGUUCCUGGUCCUUAGUUCCUCCAAACAGACCCAUAUUCAGGUUCCUGGUGUUUAGUUCCUCCAAACAGACCCAUAUUCAGGUUCCUGGUCCUUAGUUCCUCCAAACAGACCCAUAUUCAGGUUCCUGGUGUUUAGUUCCUCCAAACAGACCCAUAUUCAGGUUCCUGGUCCUUAGUUUCUCCAAACAGACCCAUAUUCAGGUUCCUGGUCCUUAGUUCCUCCAAACAGACCCAUAUUCAGGUUCCUGGUGUUUAGUUCCUCCAAACAGACCCAUAUUCAGGUUCCUGGUGUUUAGUUCCUCCAAACAGACCCAUAUUCAGGUUCCUGGUGUUUAGUUCCUCCAAACAGACCCAUAUUCAGGUUCCUGGUCCUUAGUUUCUCCAAACAGACCCAUAUUCAGGUUCCUGGUGUUUAGUUCCUCCAAACAGACCCAUAUUCAGGUUCCUGGUCCUUAGUUUCUCCAAACAGACCCAUAUUCAGGUUCCUGGUGUUUAGUUCCUCCAAACAGACCCAUAUUCAGGUUCCUGGUCCUUAGUUUCUCCAAACAGACCCAUAUUCAGGUUCCUGGUGUUUAGUUCCUCCAAACAGACCCAUAUUCAGGUUCCUGGUCCUUAGUUCCUCCAAACAGACCCAUAUUCAGGUUCCUGGUGUUUAGUUCCUCCAAACAGACCCAUAUUCAGGUUCCUGGUCCUUAGUUUCUCCAAACAGACCCAUAUUCAGGUUCCUGGUGUUUAGUUCCUCCAAACAGACCCAUAUUCAGGUUCCUGGUCCUUAGUUUCUCCAAACAGACCCAUAUUCAGGUUCCUGGUGUUUAGUUCCUCCAAACAGACCCAUAUUCAGGUUCCUGGUCCUUAGUUUCUCCAAACAGACCCAUAUUCAGGUUCCUGGUGUUUAGUUCCUCCAAACAGACCCAUAUUCAGGUUCCUGGUCCUUAGUUUCUC